rnacentral:rRNA from 1 species
AAAUAACGUCCCAGUUCGGAUUGUAGUCUGCAACCCGACUACAUGAAGCUGGAAUCGCUAGUAAUCGCGAAUCAGAAUGUCGCGGUGAAUACGUUCCCGGGUCUUGUACACACCGCCCGUCACACCAUGGGAGUCGGAAAUGCCCGAAGUCAGUGACCCAACCGUAAGGAGGGAGCUGCCGAAGGUGGAGCCGGUAACUGGGGUGAAGUCGUAACAAGGUAUC